UACGGGAGGCAGCAGUGGGGAAUAUUGCACAAUGGGCGAAAGCCUGAUGCAGCCAUGCCGCGUGUAUGAAAAAGGCCUUCGGGUUGUAAAGUACUUUCAGUCGUGAGGAAGGUGUUAAGGUUAAUAACCCUAGCAAUUGACGUUAGCGACAGAAGAAGCACCGGCUAACUCCGUGCCAGCAGCCGCGGUAAUACGGAGGGUGCGAGCGUUAAUCGGAAUUACUGGGCGUAAAGGGCACGCAGGCGGUUAAUUAAGUUGGAUGUGAAAUCCCCGGGCUUAACCUGGGAAUGGCAUUCAAGACUGGUUAGCUAGAGUCUUGUAGAGGGGGUAGAAUUCCAUGUGUAGCGGUGAAAUGCGUAGAGAUGUGGAGGAAUACCGGUGGCGAAGGCGGCCCCUGGGACAAAGACUGACGCUCAUGUGCGAAAGCGUGGGGAGCAAACAGGGAUUAGAUACCCGU
rnacentral:rRNA from 1 species